rnacentral:rRNA from 1 species
GACGAACGCUGGCGGCGUGCUUAACACAUGCAAGUCGAGCGAGGCCCCUCCUUCGGGAGGGUGUCCUAGCGGCGAACGGGUGAGUAACACGUGGGCAACCUGCCCCCGGCUCUGGGAUAACUCCAAGAAAUUGGGGCUAAUACCGGAUAUGACCGCUGACCGCAUGGUCUGGUGGUGGAAAGAUUUAUCGGCUGGGGAUGGGCCCGCGGCCUAUCAGCUUGUUGGUGGGGUAGUGGCCUACCAAGGCGACGACGGGUAGCCGGCCUAAGAGGGUGACCGGGCACACUGGGACUGGGACACGGCCAAGACUCCUACGGGAGGCAGCAGUGGGGAAUAUUGCGCAAUGGGCGGAAGCCUGACGCAGCGACGCCGCGUGGGGGAUGACGGCCUUCGGGUUGUAAACCUCUUUCAGCAGGGACGAAGCGAAAGUGACGGUACCUGCAGAAGAAGCACCGGCCAACUACGUGCCAGCCGCCGCGGUAA